rnacentral:lncRNA from 1 species
GAAAUCCAUCUGUUGUUAUGAUUCUAAGAGACUCACUUAAAAUGUCUAUAAAAGGUGGUUUUGCUUUUGUAGCAUAUUGAAGACUCCUUCCAGUGAAGACGGGCAAGUUAAGUCUGUAUUACUGAGCACUGAGGAGUAUAGAACAUAUCAGAAUGGAAAGAGAAUAUUGCAUCUUUGUGGCCUUUCUUCAGAAUUUCUCCAAUAAAACGGAAGGCAAGCAGUGACUGAACCAGGAUGAAGCCGACAUUGCCUAAAACACGCUUGCAUUGUCUUCCUCCAUUGGUCUACCGGAAUAGCACAGCUUAGGAAGCAUUCAGCUAGGGAGUUUUAUGAAUUUUCUUCUGAUGAAUAAUUGAUGCUUCUAUGCAGAUCCAGUUGGCGAAGGUAAGCUCCUUCUUUCAUCUAGUCAGAUCCACUUCAUCCUACGAAGUGUGCAAAGACUAACAAAACUACAAC